rnacentral:lncRNA from 1 species
CCUUACAAAACCUUAACCCUAACCAUAAACCAUAAAAACCCUAACCCUGAAUUGUGGAUCUUCAUCAUCAUCAUUUGAACCCCCUUCAACAUCUUCAAGUAUGGUUCGAACAAGCUCUAGUUCAGAAAAUAAUGCAACGUCUGGACCAUCUGGGCCGGCCUUUCGAGGUGGAUCCGCAUCGGACUCAUUAUCUGACCCAUCACCAUGUGCAACAUAAAAGGUCCCCUCGCCGGUGGACGUCGUAGGGAGUACAUCAUCCCUCC